rnacentral:rRNA from 1 species
UACGAAGGGGGCUAGCGUUGCUCGGAAUCACUGGGCGUAAAGGGUGCGUAGGCGGGUCUUUUAAGUCAGGGGUGAAAUCCUGGAGCUCAACUCCAGAACUGCCUUUGAUACUGAAGAUCUUGAGUUCGGGAGAGGUGAGUGGAACUGCGAGUGUAGAGGUGAAAUUCGUAGAUAUUCGGAAGAACACCAGUGGCGAAGGCGGCUCACUGGCCCGUUACCGACGCUCAGGCGCGACAGCGUGGGGGAGCAAACAGG